GUCCAACAUCUUGGCGAGGCUGCGGUGUCUGCUGCUACUCUCUGAGCUUCGCAAUGCAGCCCAAGGAUGACAAGAAGAAGAAGGACGCUGGAAAGUCGACCAAGAAAGACAAAGACCCAGUGAACAAAUACGGGGGCAAGGCCAAAAAGAAGUAGUGGUCCAAAGGCAAAGUUUGGGACAAGCUGAAUAACUUAGUCUUGUUUGACAAAGCUACCUAUGACAAACUCUGUAAGGAAGUUCCCAACUAUAAACUUAUAACCCCAGCUGUGGUCUCUGAGAGACUGAAGAUUCGAGGCUCCCUGGCCAGGGCAGCCCUUCAGGAGCUCCUUAGUAAAGGACUUAUCAAACUGGUUUCAAAGCACAGAGCUCAAGUAAUUUACACCAGAAAUACCAAGGGCGGAGAUGCUCCAGCUGCUGGUGAAGACGAACGAAUAGGUCCAACCAACUGUGCAUUUGGAAAAAUAAAACUUUAUUAAAUAAAAAAAAAAAAGAU